CGGCUCCCUCCCUGGCAGGCGGGCCCGCGGAGCGGUGAUAAGAGGGAGCUGCGGCCUCCUCCUGCCCGCUUCCCCCUGAGAGCAGCCGAAAUGCUGGAUUUCUCCCCCAAAACGGGGAUGCGGCAGUGGCAUAGAGGGGCCUUGUCACCUUCACUCCCCCAAAACACCUCAGUGCUGAAUUUUGCCACAGGUGUCCCGAUCCUGGACGUACGUAAGGUUUUGCAGGUUGAGGACCUUGCUGUUACGUCUGCCUGCGUGGCGUUUUCAUGUCAAAGCAGGAGCUGCAUGAGCGGCGCGGGGUACGCAGCAGGUGGAAGAUUUGAUUCUGAUCUGCUUGACGCUGGUGUAAAGGAAGAGUCAUGUCCUGGAACUGAAUGGAUACACAACGGUACAAAGGAGGAUGAGAUCAGAAGCAAGCUCUAUUACUGCUAGACUGCUAGACUGCUAGACUGCUUACUAUGAUUCUUUCAUCCUUGAAAGAAUCAUAGAGACUUACAGUUGACUUUUCAGCUCCUCAUGUAUUUUGGGGCACAAGAGCUAUUGGUCACAGAGAAAAUAAAUGCUCUCUUUUCAAGCUGGUUUCCAUUUUUUUUUUGUUGCUUUUUAUUUCAAGUCCAUACCAGAGUAGGAAGAACUGCAGGUGAUGAUCAGUUUGUGGUUCUUAAAUUUACGAAAGUGGCAGAAAAGUCUUGUGUUCAAAUAAAAUGGGGCACUUUUCUGUAAAACAGGCUGUCAAGCACUGCCUCUUAAUGCGGAACAAUAAAAUAAUCUUUUCAAGCA